rnacentral:rRNA from 1 species
CACCUCUUGAUUAAAUAUAAGAGGCCCCGCCUGCCCAGUGAUUAUUUCAACGGCCGCAGUAACCUAACCGCGCAAAGGUAGCACAAUCACUUGUUCUCUAAAUAAGGACUAGUAUGAACGGCAUCACGAAGACUAUACUGUCUCCUUUUUAUAAUCAGUGAAACUGAUCUUCCCGUGAAGAAGCGGGAAUUAUUAUAUCAGACGAGAAGACCCCAUGGAGCUUUAAGUCAAACACCAACUGCUAUACUAAAUCACUAUAACUUUGGCAGAUCUGACUGUUAACUUUCGGUUGGGGUGACCACGGAGUAAAAUAAAACCUCCACAAUGAAUGAACCAAAUCCUAAUUCAAGAAUUACACUUCUAAAAAUCAAGACAUUGUCUUUUAUUGACCCAAGCCUUUGAUCAAUGAACCAAGUUACCCUGGGGAUAACAGCGCAAUCCAUUUCAAGAGCUCCUAUCGACAAAUGGGUUUACGACCUCGAUGUUGGAUCAGGGUAUCCUGGUGGUGCAACCGCUACUAAAGGUUCGUUUGUUCAACGAUUAAAACCCU